AAGGGUGACAUUGAGUUCAACAAAUGACAUAAUUUCAACAAAUACUAGUAUAUCAUGGGAUUUCUUUCCUCCAAACUUGGUGAAAUUAGGCCAGGUGCUAAGCUAGAAUCACUUCUGCAAUAUUUUGUAUGACUCUUAUAUGUUAAAGGAUUUUGUAUGUUAUAUGCUCUGCAGAAGGUGUUAAGGCAGGGAGAAAUUAAUUUGCUUGCUGCUGUGGAGGCUUU
rnacentral:misc_RNA from 1 species